CACAAAAAGGGGGGACUCCCCCUUUCUUGUUCACCACUGUCCCCCAUCAACUGUCCAUGGGUAACAGGUGUGGAACUAAGUUAUUUUUGUCGUAACUUCCUAAACCACAGACUUCAUUUCUUACAGGAAAAAGUUCACAUUUCCAGAGAAAUUUUACCAGCAAUCUUUGCUUGCAUGCACUUCCUUUUCUGACCACAUCUGAGUUUAUUCAGGGUUUACUCACCUUCCUAAGGCUGGACAGUGCUUCAUGUGACAGGAACGGCCACCACCUAAGACUACACACACGAUGCCUCCGGUUCACCUCUUUGCCCUGGUCGUUUUAUGAACACUCCUGGUCUACUUCAGUCCUCUUGAAAAGACAUCUCUCCAGAGUACACGCCUUGGUGCGAUUAUUGUAAACUGCUCCCUAACCUCCGUGUGCAAAAACGGCCCCAUUUCUUUCGUUUUUUUUCUAAUUCAUUGCUCCAGUGUCUAAAUGACUUCUGAGCCAAAAGCAGGCGACUCUCUUGGGAAUUUUCCCUCCCCUCCCAAGGAUUCUGGAGGUUUAUGGUCCAAGAGGAGCCGGUAUGGUCUCCAUACCCAAGAGGAGAGAGGUUUUCUCAUCUGACUGGUACUGCAGUUGGCUCUCAUUACCACAGGGUGUCGCUGUGGCAGACUUGCUCUGAGCCCUCUGACCGAAGAUGCUGAUUUGCUCUGGAUGGAGCCUCCUAGAAGGCUCAGAUCCCAUUACAAGCUGUUGUGGGUCCUUAUGGAGAACAAUCCCAUACCCAUCGUGCUAUAGGUUAUAAAAGUGUUCGGAGUUCCCGUCGUGGCUCAGUGGUUCUGACUAGCAACCAUGAGGUUGUGGUUUCCAUCCCUGGCCUUGCUCAGCGGGUUAAGGAUCUGGGGUUGCCGUGAGCUGCGGUGUAGGUCGCAGACGCGGCUCGGAUCCCCCGUUAGUGUGGCUGUGGUGUAGGCUGGCUGCUACAGCUCCGAUUAUACCCAGCUGGGAACCUCCAUAUGCCGCGGGAACAGCCCUAGAAAAGGCAAAAAGACAAAAAAAAAAAAAAAAAAAAAAAAAGUGUCCCAGCCCCUUCUCGCUGGACUCUAUGCCCAUGUUCUUGCUCCAAUGAAUUAUUCUAAAAGUGAAGACAAAGCAAAGAUUCAGAGACUCUGGAGGGAAGAAUCGGUGGUAGAGUAGGAAAAAGUACAUGAGGGAUGCUCUCUCAUACCUGAAAUCUUUGGGUUCCAUCAUGUCAAAUAGUCAUAGAGUGAAGUCUUGAGUUACAAUUUAGGCUGUAUAUUUCUAUCAAAUCGGGCUCACCCAAAACCUUCAGAGAAAAGAGAAAAAUAACUUUUUUUUUUUUGGUCUUUUUAGCAUCAAACCUGCAGCAUAUGGAAAUUCCCAAGCUAGGGGUCAAAUCGAAGCUGCAGCUGCCAUCCACAGCCACGGCCACAGCCACUGCCAUGCCAGAUCUGAGCAGCAUCUGUGACCUACACCACAGCUCACAGCUCACCACAACACCAACCCUUAACCCACUGAGCGAGGCCAGGGAUCGAACCCACAUCCUCACAGAUCCUAGUCGGGUUCAUUACCACUGAACCACGACAGGAACUCCAAAAAAAAAAAAAAAAAAAAGAAGAAGAUAAAGAAGAAGAAUCACUAGAAAGUGUAGAAGACCGUUACCAAUUUCCCUGUUUGUGAGUGUCUAGAAGGAAAAAAAAGCUCUGGAUCUGGAAUAAGAAGACCUGAGUUCCAGACCCUGUUUUGCAGUAUGUCAGCUACAUGACCUUGAGAAGUCACUUGAUUUCUUUGACCUCACUGCCCACAUCUGUCAACUUAGGGCAAUACCAGUCCUUUUCAUCUUCUGGCGGGUGCUCUCGUGAGAACCAAAUGGAUUGAUUCGGAAAUUAUAAAGUACUAUGAUAUACAUAUGCAGUCUUUCCCAGUAGAUUUUUGAAAAGUCAAUAGAUUUUAUUUUUUGAGCAGUUUUUGAUUUACAGGAAAAAAAAAAUGAGCAGAAAGAACAGAGUUCCCCCAGACCCCAUCACUCCUCUGCAGUUUCCUGUAUGAUUAAAUUCUUGCAUCAGUGUGUUACAACUGAUGAGCCAACCUGAUGAACCAAAGUCCAUGAUGUAUAUUGGGAUUCUUUCUUUGUGUUGCACAGUGGGCUUUGACAAACGUUUAAGAGCAUCUAUGCGGUGUCCUACAGGAUGGUUUCACUGCCCUACAAACCCCCUGCACCCCACUCUUCCUCUCCCCCUCUCCCCACAACCCCAGCAACCACUAUCUUUCAACUGUCUCCAAGCUUUGCCUUCCAGAUGUCACAGAGUUGGACCCAUAUAGUAUGUGGCCUUCCACACUGGCUUCUUUCACUUAGUCAUGUGCAUUUAAAGUUGCUCCAUGUCUUUUCAUUGAUAGCUCCUUUGUUGUUGUCGAAUAAUACUCCAUUACAAAGAUAUUCCCAACAGAGGUUUUACUUAAAAUAAAAGACCAAAGACUACAUGGUAUUGGAGUUAAAUAUCAAGAGCUCCAUGAAAGAGAAAAAGAAGGUGCAGAAUGGAGCUUGAUAUGGGAGCAGGGUGGGCAGAGAAAUUUAAUUGCCUAGGCCAGAGCAGCUACAGCUCCGAUUCGAGGUGUAGGCCGACAGCUGUAGCUCUGAUUAGCCCCUAGCCUGGGAACCUCCAUACGCUGCGGGAGCGGCUCUAGAAAAGGCAAAAAGACAAAAAAAAAAAAAAAAAAAAAGCUUGAAGUUCCCUCUGUGGCUCAAAGGGCUCAGCGGCAUCUUGGGAGUGCUGGGACACAGCUUUCAUCUCCAGCCUGGCACAGUGGGUUAAGGAUCUGGCGUUGUCACAGCAGAAGUUUAGGUCACAACUGCGGGGCUCAGUUCUGAUCCCUGGCUGGGGAAGUCCAUAUGCCUCAGGGCAGCCAAAACAAAAAAAAACAAAAACAAAACAAAACAAAACCCAAAAAAGCCUUGUAUAUCUCAAACCACAUCACUCCUAGCUGCAGGCCUGGCACAUAAGAGCAUUCGGUAAAUGCUUGAAUGAAGGCUUGAGGGAACAUAGGAGAGGCCCCAGACUUGGGGACCAAGGGAAGCUGUGAGAAGGCAGAAAGCCCCAGUCACUAAUGGUCCUGGGAUAAGGCCCCAGAGAUACUACAGCCAAGCCCAAGAUCCCCUUUACAAACCGCUGAGCAAUGAAGAGGGACUUUUUGCAUCAGACUGAAGCCAAGACAUCCCCUAGAUAUGUGCCAAUAAUGGAAAUAGCAGCUUGGUGCCAACCAGUAAACCCAGAGGAAAAUAGUGCACCAUUAGCGCCGCUUCUCUUUCUACGGCCGGAUCUUCAGCGCCACCUAGUGGUGUGCUCUUCCGGUGCGCUGCGCUACCAAAGCAACGGACUAGGGAGGGCUUCUUGCCCUGGCUUAAAGCUGGAAGGAUUAAAGCCUUCUUCUUAAGGUUCAAGAUAAGAGACUCUGUGGAAAUAAUGAAUAAAUGGAGAGCUUUAGAAUUAACGUCAGAGAAUUUUAAGUCAUAGAACUUAAUCUCAGCAAUUACAUAGACAAUUAGUAGCAGGAUUUUGUAUUUGUGCUUAUCACUUGGCAGCUUGGGAUACUGAGCAGUUUUGGACAAGGAGGCCAAGAUCAAAAGUUACAGCUGGGCCAAGAAGUGCAGAACUGAGAAUUGGAAAAAGGAAUCUUUUACUCUUUGCCUGGUUUAGCCGCAACUGUAUCUUCUCCUACCAGUGGGCAAGUCAGCUUUAUUCUAUCCUAUUCUCACAAUCCAUUCUCUUAACGGCUUGGAUCACUCUGUCCCUCACACAGGAACCAGAAUUCCUGAGACUUUUUACAUUGCAGAUGACAGUUUAUUACAUUUGUUAUAUACAUGAAAUAUUAUGUGUGUGUGUAUGUGUGUAUAUAUGUAUGUAUAUAUAUGUAUGUGUAUAUAUGUAUACACACACACACACACACACACACACACACAUGUAUUGUGUCAACUCCUAUCUCCUUUGUCUAUUAUAAAAGUUUAGGUCCAUCUCUGCUAUGUAAUAUUUUUAAUCUACUUAAUGCAAUUCACAGUGGGUUAUUUAAAUCUGCAUUCUCUUUAAGAGCAUAUCAUUCACAGAUUUAAAGUAACCACUUCCAGUGACAUAACUCAACAGAAGAAUAGGGUUUUCUGUCUCACAGUCUGGAAAUAUUUCUGCCACAGGAAUUGACUCCACUACAGUUGAAGUCAAGAAGUCUGUCUUAUUCCCAACUUAAUAAAACAGAAAAUACUAUAUAUUUCCCUUUGGGAAAUUUAUAUGCUCCCUUGUAUAUCAAAGGUUCUAAUGAAUCUAGUAUAAAUAUACUUGUUUAGCCUAGUGAUUCUCAAGCUCAUGGAAUUAUUUUGUUGUUGUUGUUAUUUGGUAUGUGUAUAUAACUAUUAGCUUUCCUCUGACUUGGUGCCGUACAAAACACACCAUGAGAAAAGCUGGUCUGGAAAAUAAUGUGCUGGAGAGUCUGAAGAGAUUUGAACUGGAGAGAGAGUUUUGAACUGAAUGAAGAUCCAAUGCUUCAAAAUAGUCCUUGGGCAUAGAAGAAAAACGGAAAAUCAGCUCAGAGCAUAAUUUUGCUUCAAAAUUCUUAUUUGUGGAGUUCCCGCUGUGGAACAGUGGGUUAAGAAUCUGAUUUCAGCAGCUUGGGUCACUGUGGAGGUAGGGGCUCAAUCCCCAGCCCAGCUCAGGUUGGAUCCUGCCUUACUGCAGCCAUAGCACAGGUUGCAGCUGUGGUUUGGAUUCAGUUCCUGACUGAGUAACUUCCAUAUGCCUCCGGCCCAGCUAUUUAAAUAACAAAAAUUCUCAUUUGUAACCUUCCUUCUUGAAGAAUCAACAUGGUAGAGCAGGAUUCCAAUGGUACAGUAAUUGUCUCUGGGGGUCUCCAUGAACAUGUAAAAUGUAUCUAUGAGGGAGUUCUCAUGUGACCCAGCAGGUUAAGGAUCUGGCGUUGCUGCAGCUGUGGCACAGGCUGCAGCUGCAGCACAGGUUUUAUCCCUGGCCCCAGAACUUCAAUAUGACACAGGGUGCAG
rnacentral:lncRNA from 1 species